ensembl:miRNA
AAUGGACUUAGCUGGGCAGUGGGGGAACCUUUCCAUGAGGAAUAGGACACUCCUUAUGCAAGAUUCCCUUUUGCCUGGCUGGGGUG